UAAAGUGUGGGAUUGAGACAUUAAAGUAC
rnacentral:piRNA from 1 species